ensembl:lncRNA
GUAAAUACUCAACACCGACCCCAACGGAAGCCUGGAGCCCGAAUCGUGGAGUCCGGUUUGGCAGACGCGGCACUUGACCUUUUACCUUUUGUGAAGUACAGUUUGCAGACUUUACUUGCGUUGGCAGAUUUAAACACAAUGAAGCUCAGCAGGGUGGAAUCACAGCAGCAAUAAGCACAACAGCUGUGUUACACGGAGCCGAGCAGGACUCAGCAGUUGGUAAACUUUUUUUUUUAAAUGUAAUUGCGUGCAUGUCGUUUGGACGGUCUAUGUGAGUGUGUGUGUGUGUGUGUGUGUGUGUGUGUGUGUGUGUGUGUCCAGGUGUAUGGGCAGAUGUGUGUGUGUGUGUGUAAAUGAUCUUAAUCUCUCUCAAAGUCAAUUCGUCUGAUACUAGGAAGAGCAUGUUGUCUCAGAGCUCUAUAAUGGUGCUUUGAUGAGAAUUUUGUCAGAAUCAAUCAGGUUGAUUCAAUGUAAUUGCAAAACGGUUCAAGCCGCGUCUGCAGGAGCCUUCGUCCUUUGUAAUGUUCAUAUCAACACGGUUACGUUGUAUUAAAAUGUUCCUCUCAUGUGAGUAUCUAACGUUCAUUUAAGAUAAAUCUCUUCCUCUGAUCUCAGUCGUGUGUUUGGUGCUUUCAUCCAAUGCAAUCUGCUAUCUGCUCUCUGCAAAUAAUUAACGUUUUCUGAAUCAUAUCUUCUAAACAUGAUAAAAUCAUAGAUUUGUCCACAUAGUUCAGCUUCAAAAAGACGGAUUAGGUAAGAAAAGAAUAACAUUUCAUCCUUCCCCUUUAUUUGUUUGAUUUAUUUGCUGCUGUGCAGCAUCAUAAUUAAGAAAGCCCACAAAAAGGUGUCCACGUAGAAUAGUUACAGCCAAGAUCAAAGCUGUGCCAGGUAAAUUAAGCAAUAAAUUCAGUUUUUCUGUUUUAUUGCCAUUGAUUUUCAAACUGUGUUCCUGCAACAACGAAAAUACUCCCAAUUCAAUUGAAAUACCUGUACCCACUUCUCAGAUAGGUAGUUGGCCAUUAUUGUUUUUUUUUGCACAAAGAAACUGGUAAACAGAGAUGAACACACAUAAUAACAUUAUUCACAUCGCCAGUACGUGGUGCUUUUUAGGGCCAGCGUGGCCCCUUGUUGACCCCUUGAGUCAAUGGUGACUAAGCUAUUCUUUUAAUAAAAUGAUAUGCCCAUAUACUGCAUAGAGUCAAAGAAACAUGUUUUUAUCACUUUAUGGGGAAAAGUGAAACAAAAACCUCUCCGCCAAGGUAAAUGAGCAAUGAGAUUUCAAGGAGAAAAUAGUCCUCUUCAGAUUUAAUGGUUAUUUUUUAGCAGGUUUUCAUUUGCCAGUUUUCGACCUGACUCAAUUCUCAGAGGAUGCAGGCUCAGUUUUAAGGUUACAGAUAUUAUAUAAAACUAUUGAAUCUAAGGAACCCAACCAUUAAAGUCUGUCAUGAAUUAGGCUAAAACUGGCCUGGCCUUGAAAUCUGAGACCCUUGUGGAUUCUGUGUGUCCAAUUUUAUGCAUGACGUUAGUCCCCAUAGUAGCUAUUUAACUGUAGUGAGAACAUUUAAAUAUCUCCUGUGCUGUAUAGAAAAGGCUAAAUGGAGGGGGAGCAGAGUAGACACCUAAAGGAAAAUUUAAAUAAACAUUUUCAGUAUACACUAUAUAAUAUAUUCAAUUUCACAUAAAAACUACGCCUCAUGAAUUGCUUAGUUUAUUACUGUGAUGCUAAUGUAAAGAUCUCUGUCGGAAGAUUUUAUAAAAGGGCAAAAUGCAAAUUUUUUGGUGCUAUUUUAUUGUUACAGACCAUCGGACCCAUGUUAAGUAAAUAUGCAGUGGAAUAUUUUGCUAUCUUGAUUUUGAUUUCCUUUGCAGACGUCAUUGUUAUGGGUAAAACCACAAAUUCUUUCUCGCCUUGUGCUGAAACAAGUCCGCCACAGGCGAUCUCCUCCUCUCCGCGGCCUCAAGCCGUCGAACCAUCGAGAAGGGAUCCUGUUUGCAAACCACCUUUCUGUUGUGCACCGUUUGCACCGCAUUGCUCUCGAGGAGGCCAGACUGUCAAUUAAAGACCGUGCUGCUGCUCCGCCGCGUCUCUACGAGAGGCCCGGGCGGCCAUGAAAAAGCGCAAUCAAAGGACGUGAUUGCCAUCAUGCGACCACCUCUCUGGAAGCAGCACAGCAAGUCAACAUCAAGCAACGUGUUUUUUAUCGGGAGGACGACUUGAUUGCUGACUGAACCUGGAAUUUUCUUUGGCUGAAAACAGCUGCGACUGAAACGACUGUUUUCUCCACUAAGAUCCACAAAAAGACUUUCUAUGAUAACUUAGUAAAACGGGUUGAGCACGUUCACCACGAGGCAACAACUAAGUUUUUGUAUUUGCCGUCCGUGCUUUAGUUUUUCAAUGCAAUAUUGUGGAGGAAAUUGGUCCCUCAACUAUAACGGAGGAAGUAUGAACUCCUGCCUACAUCUUGACACAUACAGAUUGUCACACUAUGCCACACGUGUGCAAUAAAAUCCCCUUAGAGUGCUUGAAUUUUCUUUUUGAUUAAAUCUGUGUCUGUGUGUGCAAGGGCCCUUGCAAGGGUCGACACACAGACCCACAUUAAGGCAGAGCAGAAGAGAGAUUUACAAAACCUCUGAAAGGUUUGGCCAUGAAUUUCUGUGUUUCAUUCCCCUCUUCGACACAAUGGCGACCGAAAACAUUUAGUGCUCAGAAUUAUUAUUUUGUCUAUUGAAAGGAAGCCGUUGUGCUUAAUCCGCCGCUGUAAUACACUCACCAUGUUCCACAUCCUUCUUUCCACACACCAGAAAUACAGGUGACACCUUUAAAAGAAUAAGCUCAAUCACGUAUUGCAAAAUGCAGUUUAGGAUGUGCUUGCAAAAGUAAAAGAAACUUCAGUGACACUGACGUAAAGAACAUUUGUCUUCUCCACAUUUACUAGUUAAUGCAUGUAUUGGCGUACUGAUUGUUGUUAGGGAUUUGUCUCUGUUUGUUGUCCCAUGCAUUUGCUGAUCACGGCCACUUUUCUGUCUUUUAUAAAAGCUUUCCUGGCAGCAUGUCUAGUAGAAUUUCAUUACUCAUCAAUGUGCAGCAACGCAGGUAAGAUUGAAACUCUGACUUUCUCCAGUGACCCACGAUGCUCCAUGAGGUCUACCAGCUGUUGAGAGGUUGCUGGCACCUCUAACCUCUGGGGAAGUUGUUUCGCACCAGGAGGUUACAUGAUGAUAGCUGCCGUCAUGUCCUUUAAAGAUGUGCAUCAGGGGUCAAGGGGUCAAGGUGUGAAUUAAUGUGUAAUGAUCUGGAAAGCAGAGACAAAAAAAGAAAAACAUGCUGGUGUGGGGCUUCUGCAAAUCCAAUCCCUGGAUGAUAUCCUGUUCUUACCGAAUGCCUGAGGAGGGGCAGGAUUUUUUUUUUUUAAUUAAAACAGAUUUUUUUUUGUUAAUAAAGACGUCCAGUGUUAUGUGUAGCAGCCUAAAGGCGCGAGGAACCAUCUCAAUGUGCGAGUCCC